UACGGAAGGGGCAAGCGUUGUUCGGAAUCAUUGGGCGUAAAGGGCGCGUAGGUGGUUCUGUAUGUCUACCGUGAAAGCGUACGGCUCAACCGUAUUUUGUCGGUGGAAACUGCAGGACUUGAGGCUGGGAUGGGCUGGUGGAAUUCCCUGUGUAGCGGUGAAAUGCGUAGAGAUGGGGGAGAACACUCGUGGCGAAGGCGGCCAGCUAGACCAGUUCUGACACUGAGGCGCGACAGCGUGGGGAGCAAACAGG
rnacentral:rRNA from 1 species